rnacentral:tRNA from 1 species
GAGCCCGUAGCUUAGCCUGGACCUAUGACUCGCCGCAAACUGGUGCGGUCGUCAGAAGGGGCAAUGGAGUGCUCGACUGAUAAUCGAGUGGUCGCGUGUUCAAAUCACGCCGGGCUCA